GGCUGCAGCUCAGUGGUAGAGCAUUAGCCUAGCAUGUGCAAGUCCCUGGGUUCCAACCCCAGCACCCA
rnacentral:tRNA from 1 species